GAAUCCUAAAAUAGCCCGCAGCCCGCUGGGAUGUCUCCUGAAACACCAGCGUUGGCAACUGACAUUUACAUGAGAAUGGGCGUCCGCAGGCCGUGCUGUCGGAUGAGUCUGCGGUUCCUGCAGUGCCUGCCCGAAGACAGGUGUUCCAGGAUGCAGUCCCUCCGCACGCGCAUGGGCAGCUCGCAGGCCCUGCAGUAAAGGGUCUCCACCACAGACGUGUCCCCAGAGUUACUGUGCUCAAUCAGGUGCUGCUUCACCACCAGGUUGGAGUGCAGUGGCGUGAUCUCGGCUCACUGCAACCUCCGCCUCCCGGAUUCAAGCGAUUCUCCUGCCUCAGCCCCCCAAGUAGCUGGGAUUACAGGCGCGAGUUUUAUCAAUAAAGGCCCUGAAGGCCCAGGUUGCUUUUCCUCUCUCAUCUCCACCUGAAGAGAAAUACCCACAGGUGUGGAUGGGGCAGGCCCCCUUCAAAUUUCCUUCAGUCAGCAAGCAGAGAAGCCUUUCUUCCCACUCAGACCUCAAUCGAGGCUUCUGAAGCAGGUUCAUGUUCGAGGCCAUCUUUUUCUCCAUACCCCAAGCCAGGCUGAAGAGAGAUCCACGGGAAACGCCGGGCCUGUCCUCAUUCAGGUCCACAUUCAGGCGACAAAGCUCACUUGGUCUUUGUGUCCCACGCCUCAUGUUACCUAAGGAGGCCAGCCCGUCUGAGAGGCACAGUUCGAUGUCCAGCUCGAUGGCCAGGGCCCUGGUGCUCCUCCAGAGCAUGGCCAGCCGGGACGCCCGGUGCCCAGAAUGGAAACCGCACCAAAAGCCACGCGCGCUCAGCAAGUCGGUCCAGACCAUCAGCCGCUACUACAGGAAGACGAGUGAACCCAGGGAUGCUGUCAGCCUCACCGGCUUCGUGUCCGAAAUGGAGGAACUUCGAAGGGUCUUCCCCACGUGUCCUGACUGCCCCCAGUUCAGCACCAGGGCCACAUCCAUGUCCCACUGUGGUUCACCCACUGAGGCCGAUUUGUCCGGAGAGAUUGACAACAGCUCAGAGACCUGGAGAGGCACCCAGGACCUGUUCUUGGCCAGGCAGGGCUCAGACACGAACGUGGACGGUGAGGGAGCCCCUAGGGCCUCUGCUUGCACCUGCUGGGCCCCUGAGCUCGAGGCCUGCUUCUUGCAGGGUCGCUGCUCAUGCCCUGUGGAAUUCCCUCCCAGGACUGCCUGCCUCCUGAGGACUCACACAGAAAGGCCCCCGGGCUCCAUUAUGCAGAACUAGCCCUGCCUUUCCUGACAGCUUAGGCUGCAGUCCCCCCAGGACAGUGGCCCCUUGUCUUUGGUAAAAAUCGUAGUUGAAAGUUUUGUCCCCUUGGCCUUUACCCAGAGGCUGAUGGGUGCAUCCCUCCCUCACUGUGGGUAGAGGCCCCCCAGGACACUGCUCCCACAGACAGGUGUGCCUGUUUCCAUUUACCAAGAGAAAGUUCACAGCAACGUGUCUCCUUUCUUGCCUUAACUGGAGGAAACCUAGAGUCUGUAGUGACCAGCUCCCCUCGAACUCAGGAAGGUGGAGAAUCUCCUCCCUCCCCUCAGUUUAAAGAUGGAGAAACUGGGCCGGGCGCAGUGGCUCACGCCUGUAAUCACAGCAGUUUGGGAGGCCGAGGCGGGUGGAUCACGAGGUCAGGAGUUCAAGAUCAGCUUGGCCAAGAUGGUGAAACCCCGUCUCUACCAAAAACACAAAAAAAUUAGUCGGACAUGUGGUGGGCACCUGUAAUCCCAGCUACUCGGGAGGCUGAGGCAGAAUUCCUUGAAUUUGGUAGGCAGAGGUUACAGUGAGCUGAAAUCAUGCCACUGCACUCCAGCUUGGGAGAUAGAGCAAGACUACAUCUCAAAAAGAAAAAAAAAAGAGAGAGAUGGGAAAACUGAGGCUCCAGGAGGGGACAAGCAACCAGGUGUACACAGACAGCAUCAGGAUGACCCCCUCAUCCCGACUCCCAGCUCUGGCUCCUUUGUCCUGGGUGUCUUGGCCAGAGCUUCCACACCUUCCUUCACUCCCUCAGCACGUGCUGUGCUGGGUGUGGGCGCCCCAUCGUGUUCACAGCAGCACCACACUGUGUCCUCAAAAUGAGGGUAACAAAAGUUAGGAGACAGAUCGGAGUCCGUCUGGGCAGAUAGGGGUUUCCGAGGGAAGUCUCAGAAGGGUGGAUGUCGUCAUCGAAGACGCCAGAGGAGCUCGGCAGGGAAGGGUCUCGUUUCUCACUUGGCUUCUGCUGUCGCCACAGGGUACCUCCUUCCCUUCAGUAAGAGCAUCUGUGAGUUCGAUUACUUGCGGAAGAGGAGCAAAUCCCAGACUUUGAGUCCAGUCACCAGCAGCUCAGUCGCAUCUCAGAGCUGCCCGAGAAAGAGGACGCCCUGGUACCUCUCAGUCAUCCACGAGAAGGUACUGGCGGAGGGGAUGCAAAUCCCGGCCCCCGACUCCCUCGCUCUGCGUCCGGCUGGGAGGACAGCCCUGCUCCCCGACAGGCUCUGGUUCUAGUAUCUGGUUAGCUGUAUCAAGCAGGUCCCCAUGGCCUAAAAUGACCUCCAGACCCCCUGCUUUGACAAAGCUCCUCACCCCUGUCCAUCCUCACCCCAGUGGGUGGCAGUUAUGCCGGCAUGGAACUCAGACUCACCGGCAUGCAUGACUUCCAACCAUCCACACAUCUUUGCACCCACAGACUCUGCUUCAGAGAAUGUAUUC
rnacentral:sRNA from 1 species